UACGUAGGGGGCGAGCGUUGUCCGGAUUUAUUGGGCGUAAAGAGCUCGUAGGCGGUUUGGUAAGUCGGGUGUGAAAUCUCCACGCUCAACGUGGAGGGGCCACUCGAUACUGCCAUGACUCGAGUCCGGUAGAGGAGUGUGGAAUUCCCGGUGUAGCGGUGAAAUGCGCAGAUAUCAGGAAGAACACCAAUGGCGAAAGCAGCUCUCUGGGACGGUACUGACGCUGAGACGCGAAAGCGUGGGGAGCGAACAGG
rnacentral:rRNA from 1 species